rnacentral:rRNA from 1 species
AAACCAGCACCUCAAGUGGUCAGGAUGAUUAUUGGGCCUAAAGCAUCCGUAGCCUGCUCUGUAAGUUUUCGGUUAAAUCCAUUAGCUCAACUAAUGGGCCGCCGAAAAUACUGUAGGACUAGGGAGUGGGAGAGGUAGACGGUAUUCGGUAGGAAGGGGUAAAAUCCUUUGAUCUAUUGAGGACCACCUGUGGCGAAGGCGGUCUACCAGAACACGUUCGACGGUGAGGGAUGAAAGCUGGGGGAGCAAACCGGAUUAGAAACCCCAGUAGUCC